CACUGAGUAUACUGCUAACUUGUUGAUAGUUUAAAUAGAUUAUGCCAUGCCACAAUAUACAAGCUAAAGCAUAGGAAACAAACAAACAAAAGGAUGUAUCUAGCUGUAGUUGAUAAAAAUGUAGGAGAUGUUGCAGUAAAACAGAAUUCCAGCUCUGAACCAAGUGCUGGAUGCGAUGCUGACUGCAGAGCGGCAGCAUGAAGAGAGAUUUCACUACAGAAAGGAACAAAAUUUGGGGUUCUCAGAAUUUUCCAAGCAGCUGUCCAAGAUUCCCCCAUGACCAGUAUCGCAGGCAGGCAGCUGCAUAGCCCACAGAGUCGGUUGGCUCGUACUGCCACAGCCCAGACCCCCGAUCUUCCAAGACCUGGAAGCCCUUCAACUUGGGCUGUCAAAAAGACUUGGGUGGACCCUGCCUCAUGUGCUGGAAGCAAAGCGGCAGCGAGGGAUCUGGGGGGAAGGCCUUUGCUUUCCGCCAAAUUGGAAUUUGAUCGUGGAAAACCGAUCACCCAGAAGAUUUCCUAUCAGCUCACUCGGACCUUGCGGCGCACUGGCGUCGUGUCGCAUCUUCCCAGAUCGGUAGUUUCCAAAUACUUUCCCACGGCCACGGCGAGCAGCCCCCCGACACAUUCUUUACGGCAUUUUCAGUUACGGUUUGCUGCUGCAUGGAAUUUGCAACGGGUGGGAAAGGUGAAGCGGUGGUCGGGGAGCCCGACACCCCUCUAGUGGCCCCGCAGGCUCCGGGAAGGCGGCGGGCGGCUCCGGACCUCCCCGGGACCCGCAGGGAUGCGGGCCGGUGAGCCAAGGCGCUCCUCGGUAGAGUUGGGUCUUGGCGCGCUGUGCGGCUCGGGAUCUGUCUGACGUAAGUGGGACAUGCAGUAAAUACCGAGAGCAUCAUUAAGCCCUGGGGCAGCAUCUUUCAAGAUAGCAGAGAGUUUUCUGGUGCCAUCUUCAGGGAGAACGCUCUUCUAGGGCACCUGGGAGGUCCUGGCACCCACCGUGACUGCUUCAUGAGGCACAGCAGCAAGUCCAAGGACUGACCUUGUUGGUGCUGGCCAAGCGUCCUGUGGAGGGUCCUGGGGAAGCUGGUACGCUCUUGGGAGUCACUGCAGAGCAGAACUGAUAGGAGUUUGCAAAGGAGAUCAAGGCAGUCACCCCCUUUUUGCAAAUGGGCACAGCACAGAGGAAUGAUUUGUCCAGAGGCAGCAAGCCACCUGACAGCAGCGUGAUGUGGUGCUGAAAGGAUAUAUGGGUUUAUAUGCAACAGAUCCUGAGAGACAUACACAGCAUACAGACAAUAUCUGGACAGCCUUCCAACCCCUUCUCUCCAGAUUAUAACAGUCUGUAUUUUCUCCAUGUAUAAAGGAACAGUAUUUUACAAUUGGGAAUAGAAGAUAUUUUCAUUUGGAAGAUACUUGUUUUUAAGACUCUAUGAAGUGAUCAUCUAAUGUCACAAAUUUAAUUCCGUUUUGAAAAGAAGUAAGAUUCCUGAGCUUUGAUCUGCAGUGAAUUUUUAAUAGUCUAGAGUCUUUCAGACUGGGAGAAACACAUAA